AUUGAACGCUGGCGGCAGGCCUAACACAUGCAAGUCGAGCGGAUGAAGGGAGCUUGCUCCUGGAUUCAGCGGCGGACGGGUGAGUAAUGCCUAGGAAUCUGCCUGGUAGUGGGGGAUAACGUCCGGAAACGGGCGCUAAUACCGCAUACGUCCCGAGGGAGAAAGUGGGGGAUCUUCGGACCUCACGCUAUCAGAUGAGCCUAGGUCGGAUUAGCUAGUUGGUGGGGUAAAGGCCUACCAAGGCGACGAUCCGUAACUGGUCUGAGAGGAUGAUCAGUCACACUGGAACUGAGGCACGGUCCAGACUCCUACGGGAGGCAGCAGUGGGGAAUAUUGGACAAUGGGCGAAAGCCUGAUCCAGCCAUGCCGCGUGUGUGAAGAAGGUCUUCGGAUUGUAAAGCACUUUAAGUUGGGAGGAAGGGCAGUAAGUUAAUACCUUGCUGUUUUGACGUUACCAACAGAAUAAGCACCGGCUAACUUCGUG
rnacentral:rRNA from 1 species